GAUGAACGCUGGCGGCGUGCCUAAUACAUGCAAGUCGAGCGAAUGGAUUAAGAGCUUGCUCUUAUGAAGUUAGCGGCGGACGGGUGAGUAACACGUGGGUAACCUGCCCAUAAGACUGGGAUAACUCCGGGAAACCGGGGCUAAUACCGGAUAAUAUUUUGAACUGCAUGGUUCAAAAUUGAAAGGCGGCUUCGGCUGUCACUUAUGGAUGGACCCGCGUCGCAUUAGCUAGUUGGUGAGGUAACGGCUCACCAAGGCAACGAUGCGUAGCCGACCUGCGAGGGUGAUCGGCCACACUGGGACUGAGGCACGGCCCAGACUCCUACGGGAGGCAGCAGUAGGGAAUCUUCCGCAAUGGACGAAAGUCUGACGGAGCAACGCCGCGUGAGUGAUGAAGGCUUUCGGGUCGUAAAACUCUGUUGUUAGGGAAGAACAAGUGCUAGUUGAAUAAGCUGGCACCUUGACGGUACCUAACCAGAAAGCCACGGCUAACUACGUGCCAGCCGCCGCCGUAA
rnacentral:rRNA from 1 species